ACAGCCACAUCAUAUUGAAACAUUGGUUCCCGUAUGAGCACCGAAGUUAAGCCGUGUCAAGCCUGGUCAGUACCUAGAUGGGUAACUGCUUGAGAAUGCUAGAUGCUAU